UUUCACUUGUGAUGUAGAGAUCUUAGUUGUCAGAGAAGCAUGAGACAUUUGCUCAAAGAAGAAUUGUUGUCAGGGCCAACCAUAGGGGCCCACUGUCCCUGUGACUUGUGGGGCUAUACAUAGAAAAACCCUGGUGAUUUGUCAGCUCAGCAGAAGGGUGGCAACUUGGAGGUGAUGUUCCGUGUUCAAGGAGUUGAGUUUAAAGAAAAGCAAAUGUGAGAAACAAGGAUGGUGUCUAGAGAUGGUGCUUUGGCAAUGGUUUGUUUUUCAUUCCCAACCAUUUCAGUACAAAGUCUAGGGCUACACACGAAUCCCUGUAUGCAGACUGCCUAGGCAGCCUGUAGACCGUUAGGGUUCUUUGAAUAUAGUUAUCCUAUCUUGACAGUUGGCUUGCUAAGUAGAUUUUAAAGGUCUCUAGCAGGUAAGAAACAAAGUGUGGUAAUACAUGGAAUAUGUGCACAAAGGUGAUGCUAUUUACAAUAAAUACUUUAUUAACUUACUUGGGGGUGGAGAAUAUGCACGCUACAGCACAUGCUUAGGGGUCAGAGUACAACUCAUAAGAGUUGGCUUUCUCCCUCCACUGGGUUGAUUCCCAGGAUCAGGCACAGUGACAGGUGCUCUUACCCACUGAACCAUCUUACCAGCUUUUAUCUGUACUUGUAGUCAGAGAAGCAGUGAAGAUCUGGGGGAAUUCUCCCUCUAGCUGCUUCUCUGGGUACAGAUUUAGAAAUGAGGUGGUAUGGAAAUUAGUCACCCCAUAGCUGCUGAAAAGAAGUUUGUAGGAAGGUAAUAAGAGGCAUUCUCAAAUGAACAUCCAGUCCUUCACAGUGUGAGCAACAUCGCAGGGUCUUACCCCUCUGCCCUUGGGAGCCUCUCGUCCCAUCUACCUAAGCCUCUGAGAAGAAAAGACUGAAGUGGUACCCAGCAGAAACACCAGCAUCACUGGCCAGUGAAGCCAGGUUGCCUAAGCAUAAACUAAGAAAUUAAAGAUAAGUAAGUGUAUUUUAUUCAGUCUGUUGAAGGAAAUCCAUCAUUACUGUGCAAAGUCACUUGGCAGUGAUAAUCUAACUCAUCUUUCCGCUUUCCCUCCCUGGUAUAAAUACAUAUACAUAAAGUAUAUGGUAUACAUACAGGGAAACUGGGGGGUUCAGUGGAGUUUUGGCUUACCCACAAUUAAGUAACACGUGGUGAUGGGCUGGGGAGAUGGGACCUUAUGUGAAAUUCUGGACACAGUGGUACACACCUGGAAUCCCAACACUGGGAGGUAUGAGACAAGAAGACAUUUGGGCCCGUGGCCCAGGUAAUCUAGCCAAAUCUGAGUGUUCAGUAAGAGACUGUGCCACAAAAGGAAAAAAAAAAGAUGGAGAGUUGUUAGCAGUGGUCAGUGUCUGGAACUGGUAUUACGAGGUUGCUGGUCUCUUACUCAAAGAAUUGUAGUAAAGAUACACAAAGAUUGCAAAGUAGCAAGGGGACUGAAUUCAAAAGCAAAGUGAUUGUAUAAGUCGGAAUACUUUGUUGAGACUGACAGCGAUCUACCUGAUAGGGAGAGAAUGCCCAUUGUUGGGGCUUCUUUUCAUGGAGUUCAAAGGACAUGGCAGUUUGUUGUUUCUCACAAUGCAUCUGACUUUAAUCGUAUGCAUGGUCAAUUAUGCAUAGGCAUAAGAGGACACAUGGGGAAUUCUCUUAGAAAAGUUCAGUCAGAGGGUAGAAUUGGCCUUCCUACAUCUACCCCAAAAUAGUUCAAACCAGAUUGGUUUGAACUCAUGGCUCCUAAUCUGAGCUAUAACUGGGGGUGUUUGAAUAGAAAAUGUCCAUACCUGCUGGUUGUUAAGGGAAGUAGAAAUUUAUUUCAUCAUUUCAGGAGAGGUCAACACAGGCGGAGGCUCUAGGCUGUGCAGCAAAUUGCUAAAAGAGGGAUGUGCAUUCAUGGUACAUAGGUGAGGGUCCUAGGUUGUUGGAUACAUCGUUAGAGGAAGGGUGUGCUGUGUAUACACCAAAACUAAGCACAGUUGCUAGUUGUUGCUAAGCUGUUCUAUGCCCUUGCCCGCCUCACAGUGAUUAAGGAAGAUGCCUAAAGCCAUCCUGAGGCCUCCACACACAGGAAGAUAUGCACACACACACUCCUACCCCACGUACACACAGGAACGUGUAUCCACACAUGCUAAUAGAAUGUAAUGUGCUGAGUCAUGAAUUGAGACUAGGCCUUCGCCUGCUAGGAGCUUCUUGGCUCAGUGUGCAUUAUUUCUCAAAGUCCCUUUGUCUCUGUAGGCUGGUUACUGUAAUCAAAGACCCAAACUGCUCUCAAGAAACCCAUGCUCAGCUGAGGUGAGCUUAGAAGGGAGAAAUAAGUGGCAACUCUAGCAUUCUGCUGCAUGGUAGGGAAGCGACCGACCACAGAAUGAGCUCAAGUUUUCAAAACAGCUAGAAGGAAAAAACUUGAGAACUUUCACCGAAAAGGAAAGAUAAAUACUUAAGGAGAUGUUUAUACCCUUAUUCACACAUUUAUAAUAUAUUAUAUAUUAACAUAGCACAUGAGACCCUAUGCAAUUAUACAAUUUUGUGCAUCAAUUAAGUAAAAUGCAUAAAUUAAAACGAGAAAAGAAAAUCGAUACACCUUGCUAGUUUUCUGGCACAUAGUCAACCUUUGUGUACUUCACACACAUUAACUAGUUCUUAAGAUUUCUUUUUUUCUCAUGUAAAACCGAUAAAGCAGGACAGAGGGACAUCAGGGUGAGCCACAUAAACAGUGUGACUUCUUCGAAUGUUUUCUCUCCAGUGCUGCUGUCCUGGGACAAAUCCUGUCCUUUUCUUGCAAGUAAUUUUCGAUUUUCCUACUUUCCUACUAGUGACCUUUUGUUACAAAGAUUCAGCUACUGCGAUCAAUCAAAACUCUAGCAGUCUGUUUUUCCACUGACUACCAGCUUUUAUAAGAAUAAUAUGAUCAGGACAUGGUACUUUGCUCUUGUCAUAUCAAUACUUGGGAGACUGAGGCAGGAGGAUUGUUGUGAGUGAGUACAAGGCCAGACUGGGCUAAGAAUAAAACCUUGUCUCAGU
rnacentral:lncRNA from 1 species